UCCUUGGUAGCUCAGAUGGUAAAGCAUCUGCCUACAAUGCUGGAAACCCAGGUUCUAUCCCUGGGUCGGGAA
rnacentral:tRNA from 1 species